GGAUGUGAGGAUGAUCUGGGUACAACAUCUGUCACCCCAUUAAUUGCCUGGGUUGAUCUGGCUGAUCUGGCUGGCUAGGUGGGUGUCCAUUUCCUCCCUCACCAUUACAUAUGUGUCCCUCCUGAAGCUGUAUGCUUGGUUGAAAAGGACAACCACUGCAACAGUCAAUGGUCAAGGGUAUACAAGUAGCCGCAGUCCUCUGCUAGAACCUCUGAACAAGCUCUCAAAAUGAGUAUAUGGAUGGUGAUAUUAUGAAUCAUUCUGGUUUUCUUCUUUAUACAAUAUUUUAUAAUAUGUUAUAAUAA
rnacentral:snRNA from 1 species